AUUUUCCUUAUUUAGUCAUCCACCAGAAGCCAUAAACAAGAAUCUGGAAUGUGGAUGAACUGCAAAACCAUUAAUGUUUUUUUUUUCUUAGAAACUUUCCAGAAAUAUUAAUUGAAAGGUUCAAUGUCCAGGACCAAAUAUUAGGGAAGAAUUUAGAUUACUUAUCUUGUGUUUCAUAAGCUAAUGCGGAAACAUCAAAGGAGAUGGCAACAUCAUGUUUGGUUUCAUGAUGCAGUGGAAAGCUAUCACUGUGCAGAGAUUCUCAGUAUGUUUUUGAUCAUUGAAACAGUUGUUUUGGAAAUGAGAAGUUGUAGAAAUGAUCCCUGUUACUUCUCUCCUUCACAGAUCCCUGCUGUCAUAAGUCCUUACAUGCACGACAGAGAAAGUGGUAGCAAGUUAGAGCAGGACAGUGACCUGGAAGCCUUCAGAACAAGGCGUGGCAUGAUGGAGUAUCAUGACAUGACACUACCUCAGUGGAACAAAUCUGUUCUCAGGACAGUGAGUGCUUGGAGCGGACGAGGCCAGGGAAUGAGAAGAAGAAAACAGAUGCCUCUUUGGGCCCCAUAAUAUAAAAGUGAUGAGAUAUGAACAGAGUAAAAAUGAAGAAGAAUGAAAACAGCUACACACACAUCAAAAAGUCCUGAAGAAGAAGAGAAAAAGCACAGCCCUCCCUCUUAAAAAAAAAGAAACAAAAAAAACACACACACACAUACAGACAAAACCCUCUCUGGCGAGCCUGUUCAAGGGUGAAAAGUUGGACAGAAGAGAAAGGUCUUUUGCUGAUAGAGGGACAGGAGAGAAGGGGCCAACCUACAGCUUCCUGUGAAAGUUAUCUCUUGAGGCCUCACUGCACAUUGUCUGUGAGCAUUGUGAAAGUAGAGAACUGCUCCCCCCAAAGCUCUUAAAACCUGAAGAGGUUCAUAGGGGGAAGGAGGUAAAGGUAAAGGUUCCCCUUGACAUAUUUUGUCCAGUCGUGUCUGACUCUAGGGGGCGGUGCUCAUCCCGUUCUUCAAGCCGUAGAGUCAGUGCUUGUCCAGAGGGGGCGUCCGUUGUCACGUGGCCAGCGUGACUAAAGAACACCAUUUUACCUUCCCACCGAGGUGGUACCUAUUUAUCUACUCGCAUUUGCGUGCUUUCGAACUGCUAGGUUGGCAAGGAGCUGGGACAAAGUGACGGGAGCUUACUCCAUUGCGUGGAUUCGAUCUUACGACUGCUGGUCUUCUGACCCUGCAGCACAGGCUUCUGCGGUUUAGCCCACAGUGCCACGACAUCCCUAGGGGGAAGGAACAAUUCUUCAAAUAACCUGGUCCCAAGUUGUGCAUUGUGUGACCAGCUGUGAUAAACCUGGGACAAAUGGAUUGUGUUAUUCUACAAUAGCAGUGCUCUUGUUAUCCAUAUCUGUGGUUUUGAACUGAAAGGAAAGUGAUAAGACACAAUUAAAUCUGUUAAAAUGCUUCUAAUUGGACAGGAUAGAUAUAAAAGAGAUUUGAAUCUGUUGAAUGACUAAAAAUCACCAAGAUUCAUGUUUCUAAAUUACAGAAUGAUGUAUAGAUAAUAACCGUAUGCUAUAUAAGCCUAAAUGUGUGUUCUCCAUUUGCUAUUUU
ensembl:lncRNA